UAUGUAGAUGUUAUAUUAUGUAAAGUAGACUAGGUUAUAAUGUAUAGUAGUGGGUUGUUAGUGAUAUGUAGAUGUUAUAUUAUGUAAAGUAGACUAGGUUAUAAUGUAUAGUAGUGGGUUGUUAGUGGUAUGUAGAUGUUAUAUUAUGUAAAGUAGACUAGGUUAUAAUGUAUAGUAGUGGGUUGUUAGUGAUAUGUAGAUGUUAUAUUAUGUAAAGUAGACUAGGUUAUAAUGUAUAGUAGUGGGUUGUUAGUGAUAUGUAGAUGUUAUAUUAUGUAAAGUAGACUAGGUUAUAAUGUAUAGUAGUGGGUUGUUAGUGAUAUGUUAUAUUAUGUAAAGUAGACUAGGUUAUAAUGUAUAGUAGUGGGUUGUUAGUGAUAUGUAGAUGUUAUAUUAUGUAAAGUAGACUAGGUUAUAAUGUAUAGUAGUGGGUUGUUAGUGAUAUGUUAUAUUAUGUAAAGUAGACUAGGUUAUAAUGUAUAGUAGUGGGUUGUUAGUGAUAUGUUAUAUUAUGUAAAGUAGACUAGGUUAUAAUGUAUAGUAGUGGGUUGUUAGUGAUAUGUUAUAUUAUGUAAAGUAGACUAGGUUAUAAUGUAUAAUAGCAGUUUGUUAGUGAUAUGUAGGCUAUAGCCUACAUAUCAUAGAUGACCAGCCUAAACCUGUUCAGAUCAGUUCACAUAAUGUUAUAGUCCUUCCAGUAGCAGGACAGAGAAUGUACUGUAUAUAACCUACAUAUCAUAGAUGACCAGUCUAAACCUGUUCAGAUCAGUUCACAUAAUGUUAUAGUCCUUCCAGUAGCAGGACAGAGAAUGUACUGUAUAUAACCUACAUAUCAUAGAUGACCAGUCUAAACCUGUUCAGAUCAGUUCACAUAAUGUUAUAGACCUUCCAGUAGCAGGACAGAGAAUGUAGCCUAGGCCUGAUAUUUUUUACAACAUUUUCA